rnacentral:rRNA from 1 species
UACGAAGGGGGCUAGCGUUGCUCGGAUUUACUGGGCGUAAAGGGCGCGUAGGCGGCCAGUUUAGUCAGAGGUGAAAGCCCAGGGCUCAACCUUGGAAUUGCCUUUGAUACUGGCUGUCUUGAGUACGGGAGAGGUGAGUGGAACUCCGAGUGUAGAGGUGAAAUUCGUAGAUAUUCGGAAGAACACCAGUGGCGAAGGCGACUCACUGGCCCGUUACUGACGCUGAGGCGCGAAAGCGUGGGGAGCAAACAGG